GUGUGGGCAGGGAGAGGGAGGUGCUGGCAUGGGGGCGGGGCAUGACCGUGGGGAGGAGCUGGGGCGAGGCGCAGGCACGCUAGCUGCGAAUUAAAGGCCUUGGAGUUCCAGCCACCGCCUAUGCUCUGUCUCGUGGGGGCCCCGGUGGUGACGCCGACUCCCGGGGCUCCCGGGUCAGCCACGUUGGCGCCAACGUGGCUGAGGCGUCCCUGAAAUCCUGGUUGUGGGGCUUGGGUACUCCCGUCCCCAGCCUUGACCUGGCUUGGGGUCAUUCCAAAGCAUCAGGACCCUAAGGCUACAAGCAAAGGCUUCUGGGCCCAGAAACCUGAAGCCAACCAGCCACUUCUGAGACCGUGGGUCCCCCUGCCAGGGCGGUCUGCUCCUGCUGCCAUCACUCUUGUCCCGGGCACAUUGACUGCUGAGCCCUGGACCCUCCCCCGGCUCUUCUCUUUGGGAGCUGGAGCAGGGCUGAGCCAGCAUGGAAGCUCCUGUUCCUUGUCUGGUGCUCUGUCUCCUGUCUCAGGCACCGGAAGCCUUUUUGUGAUUGAACAUUUUCCAUCUGCUUCCACUGGGGCCCAGCCGCAAUCCAGUGAGGAUUCCUCCCUUAACAGGGACCACUGGCCCUCCUGGUGCCUUCAAAGGCUGCCGCCAGCUCCCUCUGCUACUUUUCACCUCCUUGGCCUCUUCGUACAUGUCUUUUAUAAUUUGCCCUAUCUGCCUCUGCCUGGGUCUUCUACUCUUGGCCUUCUGGUUUUUGACCUCUGUAGCUUCUAUUUUCCAUUCUUUAUUCCCCCCCCCCCCCCCCCGGGGGAGGAAUGGGCUCAGCCGCUUAUUAUCCAAGAUUUGCAGCUCGGCUCCCAAGAUAACAUUCACUUCUGUCAUCAACUGACCUUGAGGACAUCUGCUUGAGGGAGGCUGUUGAGGCUCCACCUGCUUCCAUGGAUCAAGCUCUAGGGGAGCUUGGACAGGAGACUGGACUGAGAAUAGUAAUGGCUGCCAGUUAAGCGGCUGCCUGCCAGGCGUGAGACCAAGUGCCGUGUAUGUAUGUCACUUCUACAUUCCAUAACUCUGAGCAGUGGAUUCCAUCCCAGUUCUGUAGAUGAGGAAACUGAGGCUGAGAGAGAAAUCCAAUAACUUAGCCAACAACCAGUGAGCUGGGGUUCAGGUCCAGGAAUUUUGUUGUGUAAAGAAUACUCCUCUUUCCAUGCACCCUGACAACUACUGACUGUCUAAUGCAUGUUACGAGGUAGGGCUGUCUAAAAAGAGUAAGACAGACUGUAAACUUGACCUUCAGGGGUGCUGAACCCAGCCGGAGAUGGCAAGUGGGGUGGGAGGUGGGUAAUCAGCGGCGUGCCAGAAAGCUGCUGACUAGCGGAGGCCCAGGCAGAACUUGGUUGUGUCUGGGAGGUCUCCGUGGGAUCUAGGGUUGGGUUGCUACGGGACUGGUUGAGUUAGAUGGCUCUUUCUUGAAAAGGCGACAAGGAAAGCUGUUUCCUCCGUUCAGCUUGUCUUCAGGGAUCUGGUCGCUCAGUCAGAAAUGGGAUUUCUCCGCUUGGCUCAGUGUAAGGGGCAAGGGGGACUUGUACCCAUAAAUCAGACUUGCUGCUCCCAGGAACGAGUUUUCUGAUGAGAGAGAGAGAGGCAGGAAAGACACUUACUACAAUGCUAUUGAGAGCGUGGGUCCCUUGGUGCAAGCUUAGCACAGAGUGGAUAUUUAUUUGCUUCCUGGGGCUUCAUGACCAGUGUGCCAGGACUUGAACCACUCAGAUCUGUUGAGUGAGCCAGAGGCUCAUUUAAAGACUUCACUCUGGCCUCUGAGGGACUCCGACGCCACGCUCUCCAGGAGAAACUGUUUCCCCUUUUCAUAGCACCAUGUGGAGGGUCAUGAUACCAAGGGCUCCGUGGGUCUCAGUCCACUUCUCCCUAGAGACCCAUCCAGAGGCCCACCAUUCUGGGACAAAGCUGUCGGGAACAUUUUAAGAGUGGAACUUGGCAAUUUAGAUAUUUGACAAGAGCAACUAAGACGGCAGAGGCAGCUGAGGUAUCUUGGAAGGGCCUAGAAUGUCAGGCCGAAGGGUGUUCGUGAUUUGGUGGGGGAGAGGCAGCUGGCCAGGCGGGGGGACGCCAGGGAAGGGCCUUCGUGUCUCUGGGAAUCCGCUCGGAUGUGGCCUGUUUCCUUCUGGCUUCUGCUCACACCUGACCGCCCAGCUGCUCGGUUCGGCUCGGGAGAGCCCCACCUGGGUGCUCACCGUUUACCUGCGCCUGCGCGGUCAAAAGAAGGGCGAGGGCGGAGGCGGGGAAUAUUCCGUGUGGGUUCCCCACCCGCUUCCUGUGCGGCCCGAAGGCAAGGCCCAGUCCGGUCGAAGGGGCUCAGGGCCCAGCUCGGUCUGGGGGCAUUUCUUCCCUUGCUGGGGUGACUCCGCGGGGUAGGGAGGCGGGACGCGUGCGAGGGUCUCGUAAGCGGGACAAGCUCACUGGGCGCCCUCACAGCAAGGAGGAUGGGUUCCGGAAUGUCCCGCCCCCACCCUUGCCCUUAGCCAAUCAGACGUCUGGACGGGGCAAGAGGCGGGCACCGGUGGACCCGGCCAAUCACGACCGUCUCUCUCACCCUUCCGCUCCCCGGGCCGCAAGAUUGCCAGGUAAUGGCCGGAAAUCUCCGCUUUGACAAUUUCCCUUUUUUUCUCUGCCACGCGUCGGGCUCAGAAGGGUCCAUCGACCGUGUGCUGGAUUACCGGCUUCGCCAACCCGCGAGACUUCACAGCCGGCCUGGGCUUACCGAGAUGCAAAGCCUCCUGCGGUCCUAGACUGGACGUGGACAGAGGGCUGAGGGCCUGGGCCAGAGCCACUUCCGGCUUGGCGCCCUCAGUCCUCUCGUCUCGUUGCUGGCUGGAGACUCCGGGACCCCGAACCCAGCAGGCACCUACGACCCCUGCACUGGAGCUCGGUGGCCGCCUGCGCUCCUCCCGCCGGCCGGCGCUCUAGCACCUUCCAAGCCUUGGAGCAGGGCUUGACGGUGCUGCCAGGGAGAGCCGGGCGCGGGGGCGCGAACGGCCUGGAAGGAGAGCUCAGUCCUCUUCCGGGGGGAGCCGGGGAGACUGAGAUACGGAAUGAAUGCGAGUGUUCCACGUUCUUUGCUAAACGUUGAGGAAUAAACGGUGAAAAGGCCAGAAAAGAUCUUUGCCCUCUCGGGGUUCCGGUCUAGUGAGGGACACCGACAUGCAGAUAAGUGACACAAACAUUAAUUUCAAGUAGUGACAAAUAUCAGAAAGAAAGGAACGGGUGAAACAAGAUUAGGAACGGAUUGUCAGAAAGGGCCUCUUCAAGGAGGGAAGUUCUAAACUGAGACUUGGAAAAGACAAGAAGCCAUUUUACUAGGAUUUGGGGGCAGAACUUCAUGCACAGGAAACAGAAUGAAUAAAGGCCCGGCCACCAGGAAGAGACUGAAAUGACACCUCUCUUGGGAGGGAAGGUAGGAGAUGACUGCAGGAGGGGAGGCUAGAAGGUGACCGUGCCCAGGACUGUGGUCUGAAGUUUCUCCUUGGCGUGUGGCAGAGGGUGGAGAAAGGAGGUUAUGAGGAUCGUUCACCCUUCCUCCUCUGGCCGCCCUGUGGCAUGUGGUCAGACACGAUCCCUUGCCUGGGUUGUAAAGACAGCACUCUGUGGCCUGCACCUCUGUCACCUCCUAGAGCACCUGUUUUUCUCUUCUCAACUAACAAAGUUCUGGACUAGUCAUGAAGAUUAGUACUACAGUCCCCACAGGCCACUGACCAGAACAAGUUUGGCUCAAAUCUUAAGGAGAAAAUGGAAAAAAGGCCUGGAGGGCCUAAAUCCUGCACCCUCUUAAGUACCCCACACUCCUGUGGGCAUGCCCAGGUGACAGGUUCCUGGCGAUGCUGAACUCCCUGGGACUAAACCACUCGUUACUGAGCACUUCUUGUGUGUUAAAAGUUAGUGCUGGGCUAAGUGGUCUUACAUAUAUAUUCUCUUACUUAUUUGAUCCUUUCACAAUCUUAGGAGGUAGUGAAUCAGUUAGGAUUCAGUUCAACUACAAAUAACGGAUCCAAAAGAGCAGGAUCUUAACCAAGAUGUAAGUGUAUUUCUCACGAUAACAUGCGCAGGUGGGCUGGAGGUAGGCAGCCUACGUCAGGACGAGUGUGGCGGGCCUAGCCUGCAGAGCCAGCAGGGACCCAGGCCCCCAUCUCACCAUCCCAAAACAAGGAGUCUCAUCUCACCGCCAGUAAAGUCUCCUCUCACCAUCCCCAAACAAGGAGUAGCAUUGAACCAUACGUGCUCAUGUUUAAAUGUUUUUAUGUAUGUUUUUGAAAGACAGCAGGCAAGUGGGGGUGGGGCAGAGAGGGAGGGAGACAGGAUCCGAAGUGGGCUGUGCACCGAUAGCAGAGAACCUGAUGCCAGCCUUGAAACCACCAGCCGUGAGAUCGUGACCUGAACUGGAGGCAGACACUUAACCGACUGAGGCCCCCAGGCGCCCCAAUACAUGCUAAUUUAAACAUUUUUUAUCAAAUGGGAAUACCAUGUACAAAUUGCAGAUGAAAGGAAUGAUUUCCUAGAGAAAUUGUAAAAACUGUCAAAAUUGAGGCAGGAAGACAUGGAAAUUCUGAAUAGCCAGUAUCCUAUAGGGGAAAUAAUAAAAAUAAAUAUUUUUAUUUGUAUCUCUUUAA